AGAACGAACGCUGGCGGCAUGCCUAAUACAUGCAAGUCGAACGAACUCUUCGGAGUUAGUGGCGCACGGGUGCGUAACGCGUGGGAAUCUGCCCCUUGGUUCGGAAUAACAGUUGGAAACGACUGCUAAUACCGGAUGAUGACGAAAGUCCAAAGAUUUAUCGCCAAGGGAUGAGCCCGCGUAGGAUUAGCUAGUUGGUGAGGUAAAGGCUCACCAAGGCAACGAUCCUUAGCUGGUCUGAGAGG
rnacentral:rRNA from 1 species